CAAUAGCGUAUAUUAAAGUUGUUGCGGUUAAAAAGCUCGUAGUUGGAUUUCUGCCGAGGACGACCGGUCCGCCCUGCGGGUGAGUAUCUGGGACGACCUGGGCAUCUUCUUGGAGAACGUGUCUGCACUUGACUGUGUGGUGCGGUAUCCAGGACUUUUUUACUUUGAGGAAAUUAGAGUGUUCAAAGCAGGCUUACGCCGUUGAAUAUAUUAGCAUGGAAUAAUAAGAUAGGACCUCGGUUCUAUUUUGUUGGUUUCUAGAGCUGAGGUAAUGAUUAAUAGGGAUAGUUGGGGGCAUUCGUAUUUAACUGUCAGAGGUGAAAUUCUCGGAUUUGUUAAAGACUAACUUAUGCGAAAGCAUUUGCCAAGGAUGUUUUUCAUUGAUCAAGAACGAAAGUUAGGGGAUCGAAGACGAUCAGAU
rnacentral:rRNA from 1 species